CAUUGACAGGCUACCAAGUGAUGACACGCAGAGCCCAUUUACAGCGGGGAGAUUGUUGUGGUAAUGCUUGUAGACAUUGUCCCUAUGGGCAAGUGAAUGUGAAGGAUGAAUCAAAGAAGAAAUUCAAUUCUGCAUUUUAUGUAUAACUGUUUUGAAUUAAAUUUAUUUAUUUUUAAUUGUAA